GGAGCAUUCGAUGGCCGGCCCUUCCAGCUAGCCUUGCACUGCGGGCCCCGGGCUGGGGGACGCCACACCAAGCAUCAGGUCAGCAGUUUCCCGGACCUCCGUGAGCUCCUGGUAACGGGCACCAUGAAAGUGGACCUAGAGACCCUGCUGGCCUUGCAACAGGCCAACAUCAUAGCCAAUUACACUCAGGCACGCCCAGCAGCGUCUCCAUGGGACCCAUGGGAAGAUGCUGAGCUCUCGCUGUGCAGGCUCACGGACCAUCAUGGCUUUCUGCAGU